rnacentral:rRNA from 1 species
UACGUAGGUGGCAAGCGUUGUCCGGAUUUACUGGGCGUAAAGGAUGCGUAGGCGGACAUUUAAGUCAGAUGUGAAAUACCCGAGCUUAACUUGGGUGCUGCAUUUGAAACUGGGUGUCUAGAGUGCAGGAGAGGUAAGUGGAAUUCCUAGUGUAGCGGUGAAAUGCGUAGAGAUUAGGAAGAACACCAGUGGCGAAGGCGAGUCCCUGGACACUUCCUGACACUGAGGCACGAAAGCUAGGGGAGCAAACAGG